rnacentral:lncRNA from 1 species
GGUGGCUCAGUCUCAUCAAACAUUGGCUCUUCCCCAAGACAGGAGUAUGACAAGUGAGGAGGGAAUGACUUUUGGGUUCCUGACGGCAAGGAUUCAGGUGAGUUAAAGUUUACUCUUUGUCUUUCCUGUGCCCUAUUUCGUGGC